UCGACCUGCGCAAUUGUUUUCUCGUUUUCUUUAAAUAUGAAUAUUACGGAUUUAGGCACAGUGUCAUCACUGAAAUCAUUUGCCUUAUCCUGUGUCCAUUAUUGAGUUAGUUUUUAAUUUGUGAUUCCUUGUUACUAAUGCGCAGAAAUACUACGUUUUAACGACAGAAAUAUCAGCAAGCUAGAAAGGUUUAAUGCUAUUGAAAGGCGCCCGUGCGAACGCACACGCACAACAACAAGAACAGCGUUUGUGGCGUAGUUUCCGUUCGUCUUGUGUCCACGCUUGUGCGCCUGCUUUUCAGUAUCAUGAAUGAAACAUUGUUUCAGGAGUAUGAAAUCGGUAGGAGGUUUGUAAUAAUAUUGCUCUGUUGCACUUUUCCCAAGAUUGAUCACACUACUAAAACUGCAUGCUAUGUUUGUGUAAAUAAAUGU